AUGGAGUGUUAUAAGAUUAGGUUGUCUUUCCAUCAUGGCUUGGGUCCUUCUGCUUUCACCAUCCUCUCCUCCUUCAAUCUCAGCGUCCAGCAGCUGAAGAACCUGAAAGAUCCAGAGUUGGUAGCUCCAGGAGAAACAGUCGUUUUGUCGUGUAGCUACAGUGCUGGAACCAUCACAGAUAACAAUUACCCUCUGUGGAUCCAGCAGAAGUCAGAAGAAGUUCCACGGCUCGUAAUGUAUGCCACAGGUUCCAGGGCCAGUGGCACGCCUGCCCGCUUCUCUGGUUCAAAGUCAGCAAACACCAUGUCUCUGAUCAUCAGGGAAAGCCAGCUGGAAGACGAUGCGACUUAUUAUUGCGUUGUUUGGGGAGGCAGCAAGUUGCACAGCUGUUCAUUAGGAUGGGGAAAUGAGAUAAAAACCUCACAGCAGGGAAUUGAACCAAGUUCAGAAGUUUGGGGUAUUCUUACUCCAAGGAAGACAGUAAUGAAAGAGACUGUAGGUGAAUGUCUUAGGCCAUUUUAA